rnacentral:rRNA from 1 species
AAUCAACGCUGGCGGCGUGCCUCAGACAUGCAAGUCGAACGAGAACCUCCCUUCGGGGAGGGGACAGUGGCGCACGGGUGAGUAACACGUGGGUAAUUUACCUUUGGGUGGGGAACAACAGCCGGAAACGGCUGCUAAUACCGCAUAAUGCAGCGGCUCGACAUCGAGACAGUUGUUAAAGCGGGGGAGUCGCAAGACCUCGCGCCUGAAGAGAAGCCUGCGGCGGAUUAGUCAGUUGGGUAGGGUAAGUGGCCUACCAAGGCGACGAUCUGUAACCGGCCUGAGAGGGCGGGUCGGUCACACUGACACUGACAUACGGGU